rnacentral:rRNA from 1 species
AUUGAACGCUGGCGGUAUGCUUAACACAUGCAAGUCGAACGUGAAAGAGGGGUAACCCUUUAGUAGAGUGGCGGACGGGUGAGUAAUACGUAGGAAUCUACCUUAGAGUGGGGGAUAACCCGGGGAAACCCGGGCUAAUACCGCAUUGUCUCUAUGGAGUAAAGGUGGCUAGCAAUAGCUAUCGCUCUAAGAUGAGCCUACGCCGGAUUAGCUUGUUGGUAGGGUAAUGGCCUACCAAGGCCGCGAUCCGUAGCUGGUCUGAGAGGACGACCAGCCACACUGGGACUGAGAUACGGCCCAGACUCCUACGGGAGGCAGCAGUGGGGAAUAUUGGACAAUGGGCGAAAGCCUGAUCCAGCAAUACCGCGUGUGUGAUGAAGGCCUGCGGGUCGUAAAGCACUUUCGUUGGGGAAGAAAUGCUCAAAGUU